rnacentral:tRNA from 1 species
GGGCGAGUGGCGGAAUUGGCAGACGCGCACGGUUCAGGUCCGUGUCCGGUAACCCGGGUGGGGGUUCAACUCCCCCCUCGCCCACCA